AGUGAACGCUGGCGGUAGGCCUAACACAUGCAAGUCGAACGGCAGCACAGUAAGAGCUUGCUCUUACGGGUGGCGAGUGGCGGACGGGUGAUGAAUACAUCGGAAUCUACUUUUUCGUGGGGGAUAACGUAGGGAAACUUACGCUAAUACCGCAUACGACCUACGGGUGAAAGCAGGGGAUCUUCGGACCUUGCGCGAUUGAAUGAGCCGAUGUCGGAUUAGCUAGUUGGCGGGGUAAAGGCCCACCAAGGCGACGAUCCGUAGCUGGUCUGAGAGGAUGAUCAGCCACACUGGAACUGAGACACGGUCCAGACUCCUACGGGAGGCAGCAGUGGGGAAUAUUGGACAAUGGGCGAAAGCCUGAUCCAGCCAUACCGCGUGGGUGAAGAAGGCCUUCGGGUUGUAAAGCCCUUUUGUUGGGAAAGAAAAGCAGCAGGUUAAUACCCCGCUGUUCUGACGGUACCCAAAGAAUAAGCACCGGCUAACUUCGUG
rnacentral:rRNA from 1 species